UUGGAAUUUGAUUUUGCGCGAUUCGUAAGGCCACGUUUGGCUCUCCCUAUUGUGUUAAGUCAUGUGUGUGUGUUUAUUUAGAUAUAUAGAUAUGUUUUUGAGUGGUUGGUCUCGUCUUUUGGGAGCCAAAAUAUCUAAAAGAGAGAGAAGAGAACCGUGAGGGAGAAAAGAGAAGAGAGACGAUUCUUGAAGAAAAGCUUAACAAUCAUGGGGGUUUGAAGGGAAUUGAAGAAAGAGAAGGGAGAUCAACCAUGGAGGCUUGAGGAAAUGGAGGAGAAUUAAAAGGAAGACAAAGAUUGAACUAAGGUCAAGACGAGGACAUCGUCCCAUUACUACCGGGAGCUGAUCACUGUGAGCCAUCGGGGAUUGACACUAGAGUUGUACUGAGGUUCGCUUGUCUGCUAAGUCACCUGGGGUAUGUCUCCACGUGGAGGUCUUAAUUUAUUGUUGGGAGUCUUAUAAAUUAUUAAGUCUUAUGUAAGAGUGUGUGAGAUCUAUAUAAAAUCUGUGAUUG